rnacentral:sRNA from 1 species
UCAUAACUCAUUAGACUCAAUACCUAUGCUACACUAACUAUCUCGAGCCAAUGAAAUCAGCAGAAAAGGUAUGCAGAAAGAUGAAUCAUGACGUGAACUGGAUUUGGAAGAAGAAUGUUCACUGCUCUGCAAAACAAUAAUCAGUGGACUACAGAAGUGGAGCAGAUAAAAGAAAGAAGAAUGUGCUGAAUUGUUAUUUUGUAAAGCAUUUGAUCUAUAUCAAUACACACACAUGCACUCAUUGAUUCUCUUCUCAUCCAAUUAACAGCAGUAGCUACUAUGUCAUAUAUGUGCUUGUAGCAAUAAUAGCAAACAAAAUUGAAGACAAAAAAAUUGAUUCAAUUUGAGGAUGCUUUCUUGUGAACUAUACUUUUGGAGAUCUCACCAGAAUCUCUAAUUAAGACGUUA